UGAAACUGACAGUGCUAAAGGCCUGAACCUAGCCAGAACACAGAUUGGUACCUGAACCCAUGUGCCAGGACUUGAACCAGCCUAAACCCAGAUUGGGAUCUGAACCCACGGUUUUAAAUUAGAAUCACUCACCCAGUGUCUGGGCGAUUCACUGAGGUUCAGGUUCUUCAAGCCUCCGCACAGAAGGAAUUCCACAAAAGACAGUGAUAGGCAAGAAAUAGAUUUGUUAAGAUAGGACGCUUGUGAAAGAUGCAAGUGGGCAGGCAAGGAGGCUCUGCCCCCAGGACCUGGUGGGCUACAGUUUUAUCCUCCAAGAGGAGUGGGGGGUCAGAAAAGACCUCCUCUUCCUUUCUGGGAGUAGUAGCUCCUCCUUGGCAUCCGGUAAGGUGUGUAUUCAAAUCAUCAGAGGGGCGGUCCUCAAACUCCUUCCGUAGAUCUGAAUCUGAAUGCAGGCCUCAUCCCAUCCCCCACCCAAUGACGAGGCAAUUCUCGCACCUCCACUAGUCAAGCAAAUCUGCCUUGUGCUGAUGGCUUUUUUGAGCAAUUUAUUAAGUUACAGUGAUCUCCCAACACCCCCUAGAUUUCCCUCUCUAUCUAUGAUCCUCUAUUGGGACUUCUACAACUACCUGUGCCUCCUCCAUCCCUAUCACAGGUAUGCAUGUAUGUUUAUGUGUGCGUAAGUGUGCACAAAUGUGUGUGAUUGUUCACUGCAUGCCUGCAUAUGUGCAUGUGUGUAUGUGGCUGUGUGUUCAUGUGUGGCCGCACUGUAUGUAUGUGUAUGUGUAUAGGUGUGCAAUGCACACAUGCAUGUGUGUGCCUUCAGUGUGUGUGAUUGUGUGCAACGCAUGAGCGCAUGUGUGGUGUGCACUCCUGUGUGUGUGUACAUGCAUGCAUGCAUGUAUGUGUGUGUGUAUCUGCAUGUUGGGUAUAUUGCCUGGGGAGCAGCCAUUUGGAGUGGUGGAAGAGAGGGGUGUGGUGGGCCGGGGCGCUCAGCCACAGAAAAGAAAGUCGAUAACCAAAGAAUUUUGUUUGGAUUCUUACGGGGCAGGGAAAGAAAAGCACCCCUUACUGUGGACUCUACCUUCCUAAUUUAAAACAGAAACCAAAGGGUCCAGUUUCAUAGCCAGUGGGCUGGGCCAAGAUACGGUUUUCCCAGAAACUAAAGUUGUAAAGAAACAUAGAAUGAUCCUCCCCUGUCUUUCCGAGUCUCCAGGCCUGUGGUGUGGUGUGGCCUGUCAUUACCUCGCAAAGUCGACCCCGGUGGACAGUUCCUGGCCGCUCAGGCAAACAUCAGAUCCAGAAUGAGCCUCAAUGGCCGAUCAGCCUUAUUUGCUGUGUCUGCUUGUCCAGACCCCAUUUAAGAAUCUUAGGGGAAGAUAAAUUGUGAGAGAUCGUGGAAUUUUGAACAUGGACUGGGUAUUAGGUGAUUAGGGAAUUAUUGUUAAUUAAGUUAUGUAUGAUAGAGGAAAUGCAGAUGUGUGGAGAAUCUUUUUAUUUCUUCUCAGAGAUACAGGCCACAGUGUUAAGUUGAAGUGCCAUAUUAUUUAACUGUAAUUUAAUUUGCCCGCACCUUCAGCACAUAGAAGUUUCCAGUCUAGGGGCUGAAUUGGAGCUGCAGCUGCCAGCCUACACCACAGCCACAGUAAUGCGGGAUCUGAGCCGCAUCUGUGACCCACACCACAGCUCAUGGCAACGUUGGAUCCUUAACCCACAGAGUGAAGCCAGACAUUGAACCCACAUCCUCAUGGACACUAGUUGGGUUCUUAACCCUCUGAGCCACAAUGGGAACUCCUGUAAUUUACUUUAAAAUGGUUUAGUCAGAGGGAAUGAGAGAGAUAUUGAGAGAGAGAGGGAGAGUGCAAAUGUGAACAAUUGUUGACUCUGGAGAGUAGAUGUAUUUCUGUUCUUCUCUCUGCUUGGAUAUGUUCACAGUAAAAAAAUUUUAACGUUUUGGGGGAAAACCACUUAAAAAAUAAAUCUAACAUGUUGUGUGCGUGCGUGCGCACACAUACACAAAAGCCCUUUGGAGUUUCCUAAAGCAGAUCGCAAGAUGGGAGAAGCUUCUGCAUCUCCUGGCGCCAAUCUGACGUUGAGGCAGGUGGCAGAAGAGUCAGCUUCAGGAACUGGAUCGGGCCCAUGGGGCCAGCACAGGCAACCGGCACACCUCACUUCCUGAUCUCUUCUGCCUAAUCAUGUUCAAAGGGUCAGGUUGAAGUGAGCUAGGAUGCUUGUUGAACUUGAAAUUUAACACAGGCUAUGGUCUGUUCCAUAUGUCAAGGAACCAUCUUUCCUUAGACUACAGUAUUACUCUGCUACAGAAGUUUGCUCUCCCCCAGGAAGCUGGAUCCUAGAUGGAAUCCAAAGGAGGAGGUUGCCUUUGACCAGUCUUGACCUGUCCAACUACAAGCAGACGCUAGCAGAGAACUUUCUGUGGGCCAGGGAGGCAAGCAUCAUCGCGUUCAACCCCAACUCUAUGAGGUUGGUGCCAUUAUUGCCCCCAUUCUACAGAUAGGAAAACUGAGGCUCAGAGCAUUUACUUAAGUGAUGUCUCCUGCACAGGUGGCACUGGCAUUCACCUGUGAGAUCUGGUCUGUGGGACCUAGAACCAGCCCUCUUUCUGCCAAAAAUGGAUCACAGCUAUUAUGGCAGAAUCCAUGCAGGGUCUAUUGCUCAAUUGCCAUGGAAUACUUUUGUCAUUUCUAUUGGACUUUCCUCUAAUGCAGUUACCUUGAGAGCAGGAAUAGUAUCUUCGCCACAAAGCAGUCUGUGCCUUUGGGGUCGUAUCUGCUUUCUUUGGUGCCCCCCACCCCAAUACACACCCUGGGCACAGGAUAAGGAGUUAAGUCUCCAGCAAGUUUGAGAAACCCCUCUUUUAUAAAACACACUUCUCUCACAAAGGCAAAUGGUCUCCUUGUUCUUUUGUGACUCUUUCUCAUUUUAAGGCUUCCACCCAUGGUUAUUUCUUUUAAUCUGAUCUUGCUUAUAGAAGUGUUCCAAGGGCAUGCAUGUCUAAUGGAGUAACAGGCACUGAGCACAUAAAUGUGCUUCUUUGGGGGGGCCCCAACCCCCUCCCAACAGAAUGGCACAGGAACUCCCUUACAAUCUUGCUGGCUCCCACAUGCCCCAGAACAUAAUACAAGUGCAAUAAAUACAUUUUGAUUCAUCUCCCAGGACCUAGCUCGAUACUUUGCAUACUACAGUGGGCUUUCAAAAAAUAUUUGUUGAAGCAACGCAUAUUGGUUGAAAUGCCUGACGGUAGAAAGAAUCAUCAAGAUGAUGUCUCAGACGCCACCCGGGAGACGGCGUGAAAAUCUGAGACCAUCUGUCGGGCUUCUGGAAGGCCCAGGGAAAAAAAAAGCCAUCAAUUUUCCCGAAAUAGUACAAACAGGAUUUCCUGGAGGGAGCCAAGCCGGGGAGCAGCCUGCAUUUUGGAAAUGGAAAACGCAGCCUGGCUUUCAGUUUGGGGCUGACUGUGUUGAUUUCUGAUGGCCGCCGUGGAGGUUGUGUGUCCUGUGGUGCUCCUGGUCAUUCAGAGAUGACCUCUGGGUGGGUGGACACAGGGAAAAUGAUGGACAGCUCAUCCACCUAAAACAUCUGAAUAUCAGUACUGGUACAAUUGUCCUUUAUGGCAGGCAGCCCGAAGGGGAGCCAGGAUCUGCUUGCCUCUGUCUUGGUUCCUCCUCCCUAUCCAUGGCCACCUGCAGAAAUGAGGUUACAUAGCUGGGGUUCAAAUCAGGCUCCUCCAGCUACCAGAUAGGUGACCUCUGCUGAGGUACUCUUUCUGUGACUCAGUUUGGUCAUCUAUAUGAUGACAACUAGAGAUGCAUCUGCCUCAUAGGGCUCUUGAGGGAACGAAUGGAACUCAUAAAAAGAAGGCAGUUAAAAUAGUGCCCGCCAUACCCCGUGUUGGCUGAACAUUGGCUGUUUUUAUUUCCAUGGCCACCCUGCCUCCUCCCCCUCCCCCGGGUCACUCUGCCCCCACGGUUCUCGGUCCAGCUAUGACGUUGCCCUCCACCCGCUUGUCCACCCUGAAGUCUGGGAGUCUGCUAACCACCUGUAUCUAAGAGGCCAAUGUCUGGUUCCUGGGAGCUACAAUAACAAAUUAGCAUAGACUUGAUGGCCUGUAAACAGCAGAAAUUUCUUCCCUCCCAGGUCUUGAGGCCAGAAGUCCAAAAUCAAGGUGUCUGCAGGGCUACCCUUUUUCCAAAGAAGGUCACAUUCAUAGCUUCUUGGUGGACACAUCUUUUGGGGAGCCACCAUUCAACCUCCUAUAGCCAUCAACUUCCAUCUCUGGAAUGUCAUUGGAACCUCUCACCUCCUUUCCAUCCCAGUGGGCCCCAGUUCAGACCUGAUCAUCUCUGUCGGAGCCUCUCGGAACUCCCCACUGGCAUCCUGCCUCUAGUCUCUUUCCUUCCAAGCCAUCUUUCACAUUGGAAGCUGUGUUUACAAUGUGGCAGCCACAAGCCACAUGUGACAGUGAGCACUUGAAGUGUGUCUAGUUGGAAUGGAAUCAUGCUGUAAAGUACACAUUGGGUUUCAUAGACUUAGAAUAAAAAAAAAAAAAAGAAUGGAAAAUACCCAAUAGUAAUAUUUUCUAUAUCGAUCAUAUAUUGAAAGUGAUGAUGCUAUUUUGGAUACAUUGGGGUAAAUAAGAUAUAUUAUUAAAAUGAAUUUCACCUGUUUCGUUUUACCCCUUUUAAUGGGAUGCCUAGAAAAUUUAGAAUUACAAAAAUGGCUUAUCGUAUAUGUCUAUUGGACAGCAGUAGUCUGAAGUGUAUCACUCUCUGAUUGACUCUCCAUUUGUAUCAGUUAUCUAGACCUGUGUAAUAGGCCACUCCUAGAACUUAAUGGCUUAAAAGAAAUUUCUCAUGCUUUUUGGGGUUGGCUCAGAGAUUCCCUGUUGGUUUCAUUUGGGUUCACUCAAGUGCAUUCAGCUGGACAAUCUCCUGGGCUGGAAGGUCCAAGAUGGCCUCAUGCAUGGAUCUCCCAGGUAGCUGGCCCUGGCCUUGGGUCUCCAUCGCGUGGCCUCCCACCUUCCACUUGGCUAAAUUGGCUUCCUUGCAUGGCUGAGUUCCGAGAAGCCAGGAAGCUGCAAAGACUCUUAAGGCCUAGGCUCCAAUAUGGCGUCCCUUCUGUCCCAUCCUGUUGGUCAAAGCAAGUCACAUGUCCAGCCUAGAUUCAAGAGGGUGAAGAAGUAGACCCUCUGCAGGGGAGGAGGGACAAAGUCACAUUGCAAACAUUGCAAAGGGGCAUGCAUACUGGGAGGGAGAGAAUCCAUGGCCACUGAAUAAUUACUGCCUGGCCCUUGGUACCUCUCUCCGCAUGGGAUCCAGCCCAUGCUCCCUGCAUGCCACUCACCCUCUUUGUAAUCUAGACAAGAAUCCCUAGCUUGGGCCACCUUCAGCCAGCAUCUAUCCUGGCCUCUCUCUACCAGAACCUCAGAGGGUCAUCUGGUCAACUCUGCUCACUGAUAUUUGCUGAAUGUGAGAGCCAAUUGCUUUGAGAGGCUUGCUGGAGAACAAGGGUAGAAGUGUCUCUCUCCAUGGCUCCUGAACCCCCUCCACCCACCCGUCCAUGCAGAGUCCAAAGGGUCCAACGUCCUGUCCCCAUGAUUCAGGUACAUUCAUGGACGAUUAUCUUUGAAUUGCUUUACCCACACAAACGCACAACACGCCCUACGCAGGACAGCCCUGGCUCUUUCAGGGAGACACGGAAGAUGUUUGACAAAUGCCCACAUUUGCAAAGUUUCAGACAACAGUCCCUUCAACAUUUGCUCCAGAAUAAACACUGCAGUGGACUGGGUUUUCUCAGACUGAGCGAAGCUGAAGAGACUUUUCUGUUUGUUGCUUUUGAGUUGGCUGCGGGCUAUAAAGAAACACAAAGGGUCCAAAGUUCUUUCCCUGGGAUUGAGGCACAUUCGUGGGGCUUUUUCCCCUUCAGGUUGCUUUAUCAACAUGCCCCAGGCACAGUUCUUACUUUAUUUUCUCAGGUGUCAUGUAAACCCAUCAGACUUCUAAUAAGAAGGAAACUGGCAGCCUUGCCUUAUAAAAAAGCACCCCCAGCCCACCUUCACAUACAGGGCUUUUCAUAAGAGCAUGAAGGUUGUUGAUGCAGCAUCCAGACAGACCAGCCGGCGAAUACUUCCAACCUCAGGAUGC
rnacentral:lncRNA from 1 species